rnacentral:rRNA from 1 species
CGUGUAGGCGGUUGGUCAAGUCUGGUGUGAAAGCCCGGGGCUUAGCUCCGGAAGUGCACUGGAAACUAGCCAACUUGAGCGCGAUAGAGGAGGGUGGAAUUCCUGGUGUAGCGGUGAGAUGCGUAGAUAUCAGGAGGAACACCGGCGGCGAAGGCGGCCCUCUGGAUCGUUGCUGACGCUGAGACGCGAAAGCGUGGGGAGCAAACAGGAUUAGAUACCCUGGUAGUCCACGCUGUAAACUAUGGGUACUAGGUGUUCGGGGUGUUGACCCCCUGAGUGCCGACGCUAACGCAUUAAGUACCCCGCCUGGGGACUACGGCCGCAAGGCUAAA